ACAGAGCACGUUUUGCUGUCCACUCAUCUGUUGAUAGAAAUUUGGGUUCCUCCCACCUGUCGGUUGUUGCGAACAAUGCUGCUGUGAACGUGGGUGUGCAAAAAUCUCUUUGAGACCCUGCUUUCAGUCCUUUUGGAUGUUUCCCGGGCAGCGGGAUCGCUGGGUCCCAGGUGCUGUGGGCUUUAGCCCAGCGGCGUCCACACGUCCACAGAGCAGCCGCGAGGGGGGAGGCUCUGGGGCAGAGGGCUUGGUUUGGACCCCAGCUCUGCCACUUCCUAGCUGUUUUCUCAGUUGAGCCACCUGCUCUGAGCCUCAGUUUCCUCCUCUGUGCAAUGGGUGACAGUGUCUAUCUGUGGAGGGUGAAGGUGGGAAGAGUAUGGUGUUGGAACGGUGCCGGGCGCCCAGCACGUGCCCAGCAGGUGACACCCAUGUGCGUUUCCUACAGACUUCUUGUCUGAUGACUGUGGCUUUACACCGUCCCCACCCCCAAGCUGCUGGGCGCUGGGAGUGACGAUCCGUCUCUAUCAGGAUGUACCCAGAGUUUAUCUGCCCCGGGCAAAGCCCAGACAGCUGGGUUGGUGUUUGGUGACAGGCACUGCCCCUCUGCUGGGGCCUGGGGUGGGGGGGCAGUGACAACGCAGCCGUGGGGGAGCGGGGGGCUCCCUGAUUCAGAGGCCUCCAGCCCAGCCUCCCCACCCCCCGCGCAGAUGGCUGGCUCAGCCCAGCUGAGAGGGAGGAGCUCGGAAGAGAGGAGCCAGGCCGCGUGGCCUGCAGUGGGGGGCGCAGGGCAGAUGGAAGCGUCUGCAGGCCGGGCUGGGGGGACCUCGUGCACCUGGACGUUGGCCGAGCUGCGGGUCGCACAGACGCAGGGGCAGCGAGCUCCCCAGGGAGGGGCAGGCGGGAGGGGGAGGGGACAGUGACGUUGCUGUUUUCAGAGACGGGAAGGAGGGCUCAGGGGAACCUCGCAGGCGGGGCUGGGAGGCUGCGGGCAGGGACACGGCCACAGCCGGCUGUCCUGUCUCCUGGGGCCUCGGGGCCACUUCCUCCCGCCGCAGAGAGCUGCGUCCUCAGCGCGGCGCUGAAGCUGAGCCUCCUGGUCCUGGGCUGGGCGUCAGCUGCCGGGCGGGGCCUCCCGGGACCACCGGCUGACACGAGAUGACCUGGCUCAGACUGGCCAAGGUCAGUCAGUCAGUCCCCAGAGGCAAUACCCACCCCUCCCGCCAAUCGGACCCCCGGCUCUGCUGUUUAUUGGGGGACGGAGAUGGGACGGUCACCCCACUGGGAGCGUCGAGGCUGCGGUGGGUCAGAAGCGUGGCUCUGGCAGGUUUCUGUGACCCCGACCUCCUGUGUGAGUGUCUGCUUUAGUCCUUGGGCUGGCAGAGGGAGGGGGCAGCUGCUCAGCUGGACAGGCGUUUGCUGAGCAGCGGCUCUGUGCCAGGCCUGGUUCUGCUCCCUGGAGUAGGUGGCUCCGAGCGAGGGCAAGUGGCACAAGAGUCAGGGCCGGCCACGCAACCUGGCACAGCUGGCCCAACUCCGCCCCUCCCUGCCUCGACCUUUCUUCCACCCGGGGCAGAGUGCGCGUCCCCAGCCCUGGCUUUGGUGCGGCCACUCGACUUGCUGUGGCCAAAGGAGUGAAGCCGAAGUGCUGCCAUGCUGGCUCGGCCCCCAGCCCUCACGGGACCCCAUGCUUCCCCCCUGCCCUUGCCAUCGGGCGAGACGACACGCCUGGAGGAUCCCGCUGACCCGAGGGGGACGAGAGGCAGGUGGGGCACGUGAAUGAGAACACGUGGCCGUGGUUUUAAGCCACUGACGUUAGGGCCACUUGUUACUGGGCAUUUUGGUAGCCAGAGCCAACUGACACACCAGCCAUCGGUCAGUGCUGUUGUAGCCUCAUUCUGCAGACGGGAGCUGAGGCCAGCCAGGUGGAGGGGCCGUCUCAACAUGGCAGGGAGCUCCGGCCUGCUUGUUCUGUCAUUCAGCACCGACCCCUUGCCUGGAACUGUGCUGGUGGCUGGACACAGUGGGUGGCACAGACGCGCCUUCUGGGAGGAACCUGUGUUAAGGGAACUUAUCCUUCCUCACAGCUUCAGCAGGAGUCGGAGAACUGACCCGCCACCCCGCUGUGCAGACCCACUUGAGCCGGCCUCGGCCGAGGCAGGCCGUGGGCUCCUACGGGCCAGGCUGGAGCGCGUGUCCACUCCCUGUUGCGAGGGGAAGGGAGGACCCCCGACCACGUGGACUGGCCGUGGAGGAGAGAUGGUUUCCCCAAGAAAACGUGGGUGCGGUUGGACCUCAAGAAGGGGAAGUAGAUGCUGAGCAGAGAAACGCGAGGCUCCCCCAAACCUCGGGACCUGAUGGAGACCUCCCGGCGGCCCCGUGGGCCUCGGCGAAGCCCCCCAGGGUCCACGCUGCUCCAGGCCUUCCCGCCCUUGGCCGUGCCUCGCGGGAGUGCUGAGGACGCACGGCCACCCCACCGUGAUUUAUUCCUGGCAUCCGCGUGGCCACUUGCUGUGAGGAGCUUUGCUCUGGAACGGUCAGCUACGGGGCCAUCCGUCUUGUUGGCGGCUCCUGAUAAAACGCGCGGCCUCAGCAGACAGGGCCCGUAACGAACACGAUCAGGGCUGUUCAUUUAGAAACCAGGAGACCUUGAAAUUGGCUGUAAUUGACGGGGUGAGCAGCCAGGGGUUUGGCUGGUUUGUUCCGACCGGAGACAGCCCGCCUCUGGGAAGGUCGUGGCGACCCGCACACUGGCUGUGAGUCCUGGACGUGCCCCCCCGUCUGGCCAUGGGCCAGCUGUAUGGCCUCUUCCAGACCCCGUCUCCUCGUCUGUGAGAGGGAGAUGCAUCGGCCAGCACCAGCUCAGCUAUGUUGCGGUAACAAACAAGCCCCAAUCUCACGGCUUCAAACAACCGACGUGCAUUUCUCACCUGCCGCGUGUCUGUGGUAGGUUGGCUGGUGGCUCGGCUCCACCCUCCUCACUCCGGGACCCCGACUCCUGGAGCGUCUCAUCCACGCUACGAGCACCCCGUGGCCCGGGGCAAAUCCCACACUGGCUCCUACAGCUCCUGCUCAGAAGCAACUUCCCUCACUUGCGCUCACAUCUCCUUGGUCCGGGCCAGUCACACGGCCGUGCUAACUUCUUGUGGGCGUCGGGGUAGAAAAGCCCCACCACGUGACAGGUGAUGGGAAAGCCAGACGGUUCUCGUUUAUCAGAGAGAGCCGUCUGCCGAGCCAGCGUGGAAGGCGGGGUUGGGCCUCUCCCUCCUGGGGAUGCUCAUCAUCUGACUCGAAUCCAUCCUGUGUUUUCCCGCCAGAUUCGUCCCUCCCGCCGCCAUGGCCACGUCCCUCUGCUGUGACCUUCCAGGGCUCCGCUGGGCAUGAGCGCUCGUCAGCCCGGCGUUGGAGAGCCCUGCAUGGCGCCUCACGGAUAGUCACACGCCUCGGCGAGGGCCAGCCCGCUGCGUCCCCAGGCUCCAGAACCGGGCCCACCACCCAGCAGGUGCUCAGUCAUGACUUGCUGCGACUGUGAAAUGCGUGCACAGCGUCGCCUGCCCUGGAAGACAGCAGAGGCAUGUCUCGGUGCACCGUGCCACUGCCGCCCGCCGUCAUCACCAUCCCCUGGAAGUGGCCUCUCUGCUGCAUACCCAGCCCCGGGAGCCACCUGCGCUCUGGGCCUCGGCCCCUCACUCCUCCACACGGCCCCCGUGUGGGCAUUGCUGCAGCAGGAUUCUCUUUUCAAAACUUUAUUUCUUCCCCAGUUUUAUUGGGAUCUAACUGACAUACAAUGUAUUAGUUUGGGGCGUACAACACGAUGACUUGAUACAUGUGGGUAUCACGAUGAGCACCAGAAUCGCUCAGUUAGCGUCCAUCGCACACAGCCACACAGUCUUUAUCUUGUCAGGGGAACUUUGAUGAUUUGCUCUCUGGCAAGUUUCAAAUAUACGCUCCGGCCUCGUCACCUUCAGGCGGGAUUCCUCAGCGAUAUUCAUUCCCGUUUAUUCCCCGUCAUUCUCCCUCCUCCGAUUCCAAGACAGUUUGUCGCUCUGUGAAUUUUCUUGAUUUUGUUUUUACCAAGCAGGGAGUAGAAGCUUCUGGCAGACAGUUAUCUAUCUGCCUUGUAUUAAGCUGGGCUCUCUAGAGACACAGACCAAUGGGAUAUCCACAUCCACAUCCAUAUCCAUAUCAAUAUCUACAUCCACAUAUCAUCUGUAUCUAUGUCUGUCUAUCUAUCUAUCCGUCUGUCUGUCUGUCUAUCUACUUGUCUAUCUCCCUAUCUAGAGACUCAUUAGAAGGAAUUGGCUCACGUGGUUAUGGAGGCUGAGAAGCCCCACGAUUUGCCGUCUGCACGCUGGAGGCCCAGGAGGCCGUGGUGUAAGCUCCAGUCCGACUCUGAGUCCAAAGGCAGGGAAGACGGACGUCCCUGCGUGAAGACAGUCAGGCAGAGAGAGUGAAUCCUCCCUUACUCCCUUUUUGUUCUAUUCAGGCCUUCAACUGAUUGGACAAGGCCCACCCACAUUGGGGAGAACAAUCUGCUUCAGUCAGUCUAUGGAUUCAAAUGUUAAUCUCAUCCAGAAACACACCCAGAAUGGUGUUUGACCAAAUACCAGGGCAGCCCUUGGUCCAGCAAGCUGAUACAUAAAAUUAGCCAUCUCAUGCCUUUUGUGAAAACCCCAUGUAUUAAUUAGUCAGGGUAUAGGCUCAGCUGCUGUAACAAAGAAACCCCCAAACACACAGGUUCAGACAGGAGAGGAGUUUGUUUCUGCUGGGAGAUGUGCCAAGGGAGGCGAAGGCAGGAGAGUCUGGGGACCCUGUCCCUCCGUCUUGUUCCAGCAGCCCCAGGAUACAGUCCUUCACGGCCCCGGGGGGACGUGGAGCCAGAACCAGACCCACGUCUAACUCUCAGAAGCGGGAGAGAAAGACAGUGGCGGGCAGGCGGCUGCUGCGAAAGUGGCACGACCGUUUCUGCGGCAUCCGACGGGAGCAAGGACGUGGGGUGGGUGGCGGCUCAGCAUCCGGUCCCAGCUGCGCGCUCUCACAGGGCUGGGCGUCCCAGACCCAAUGUGAGCAGCUAUCGGCUCUGGAGCGGCGCCGAGGGAGAGGGGGUUCCACAGGCUGGAGUCGCAGAGCCAGGCUGGCCUGGUCACCUCAUCCCGUGGUGCUGCCGGGAGGGGACAGGAUCUGGGCGCUGCCUCUGCGCCCGCGUGGACGGCUGCCCGCCAUGCAGAUGCUGCGGAGCUUCCACCAGAGGGACCGCGGGCUGCAUCCUGCACAUCUUACGGGUGGCCGGAGGGACCCCUCAGUCAUUUGGUCUCUCAUCCGACACAGCACGGAGCAGCCCACUCCUGAGACCGAGACUGAAUUUCCUUGGAAUCGGCACUUGUCAAUUGGAAAGAAAUAAAAAUGGGUCUAUCUCGCAGAGCUGGGUCUGUGGCCUGAGAGGUACCCCUGUUAAUGUCCCCAUUGUGUUAAGUGAGGAGACCGGCUCAGAGAUGUCAGGUCACUGCCCCUGGUCACACAGCAAGUCCAGCAUAAAAGUGGGAUUUGGCAGGAGGCCGGCAGUGUGCAGACCCCCAGGCGUCGCCGCUGGGCCGCCCUGUCCUGCUUGUGUGCAGGCACGUUCUGAGGUGGACGCAGGGCGGGCAGGAGGAGUUGGGGGGGGGGGGCAGUCUGGGUGCUGAGGAGAUAGCUGCGAUGUGUGGUGUAGGUUUGCCAGCCGUUCUAGAAAGUUCAGCCAGCCGCACCCUGGGUAGCUUGCUGGAGGCUCCUAUCUAUGUCUCAGAAGCAACGGGCGGUUUUCUAAGCAAGUUGUCGCCUGCUGUCACCUCCCCACGCCCGGCGGGGCCGACGCUCUGGGGAAUUUUUCAGAGCUGCUCCUGCUCCGGGAGGGGGAGCGCCCGGGCUCACAGGGGCGUUGAGGAGGCCGUGGGACGAGAGCCUGUCCGCUCUGCCGCCCUGGCCCAGCCGGAACUCACCGCUCUGGGCCUCGUGUCCUCGCCUCCAGGAGGGACCCGGUAACACGGCUGCAGGGACAAGCCCAUGGCAGCGCAGCUGCGUGUUUCUCUCACGCCUGGUGCGUGGGAAGGCCCGCGUGGGGCCCGCGGCUUCGGGCGAAGGUGAGCUCUCCCAUCCGUGACUCCGCAGGUCCCCUCUUAGCUCCAGACCAAAGGGGACUCACACGCGUGUGUGCAGGCGGCGUGCGCAGGAGUGUGUGGGGCGCCCUGGUCACUGGAGCAGAACCCGGAGCCGACCCACAUACGCAUGGGUGGGAAACGAUGAACACACGAGUUGUGUAACAUCGCCACAAUCCCUUUUAGCACAUCCUCGUCCCCCUGAGAGGAGCCCCCUCCCCAUCAGCGGUCCCUCCCCCGACCCCCGGCCCCGGAACCCCCACUCUGC